UUACCCACAAAGUUGCAUUUAUUGUAAUAAGCACAGAAAAAUGUUUCCUGUGAUAAGAAAUAUCCAAAACAACACAUGCUUUCUCAGCUCCCCUUCCAUCUUUACUAGAUUAUGUAUUACUUUCCAAAUCAGUCCUUUCAGAAUUCGAUGAUGUUACAGGAGUUUACAUACCUGAUUUUAAGAGUUUAAAAUACUUAGUUUACAAAAUAUUUUGAGUCUCUGUUUAAAAUGGUAUUUGUACUGUUAAUAUCAUCAUUAUGAUUCAGAAAAUAUUCACAUAGUGAAUUUUCCUACAAUCUAAUUCUGGACAAUAAGCUGGUCUUGAACUCCUGGCCUCAAACAAUCCUGUCACCUCAGCCUCCCAGAGUGCUGGAGUACAACUAAUUUAAACAUACUUUUUUUUUUUAAACUGUUCAAAAUAUUUUGCUCUUUGUUUUACCUAAUUAUAUUUGCAGCAAUGUUUCACAGCCUACCAAUACGUUGUUGCUUAUCUGUUAGAUUUUGAUUCAUGAAACCUGAAAAUAAAUCAGAUUUAGGAACUGUUUUCCAAGAUAGUGAUAUAUUAUUAUCUAACGUAUCUUUACACAUGAAAUGCUGGAUUAUCUCAGUAGAUAUCAAAUUAAUUUAAGACCUUACCAAGUAGUACUCAAUAUGCACUCAUUCUGAUGCAUAUAAAAGACAAAAAUGAGUAAAAAGUGAAAUCCUCUACUUUUAAAUCCUACACUGUCCUCAACUAUUGUUAUCCAAUUUUUAAUUUUAGUACACUAAGUACAACUCAAUUUUUUUUUUCUUUCUUUUUCAGACAGGGUCUCACUCUGUCACCCAGGCUGGAGUCCUGUGGUGUAAUCACAGUUCACUGUGGCCUCAACCUCCUAGGCCCAAGCCAUCCUCCCACCUCAGCCUCCUGACUAGCUGGGACUACAGGCAUGGGCCACCAGGCCCGGAACAUUUAUUUAUUUUUUAUUUUUAGUAGAAACAAGGUCUGGCAGGCUGUCUUGAACUCCUGGCCUCAAAUGAUCCUGUCACCUCGGCCUCCCAAAGUGCUGGAGUACAACUAAUUUAAAAGGCAGUCAUUGAAACAUAUUUCUUGUUCUCUUUUCCAUAAUGGAGUCAUGACUUUAAAUCAUAAGUGCAGUAUCCUUAGAAACUGCCCAGCUUUAUCAGAAAUAAGUUCUGAAUAUAUUGUCAAUUGUGAAAAGACAAAAGAUCAUAGUUCCUAAUAUUCAGUUCUAAUGGUAUGGUUCCCAAAAUGUAAAAGUUGUGACUGAGGCAAUUAUUUCAAGAGAGCUUCAGCUGUAAAUGAACACAAAACUGAAUUCCUUUGCCAUGCAAACAAGAGGCACACUUUCAACCAGUAACAGCUGGCUUCACAUAUUCAUCUUUGGAUGAAAAGAGCAGGGCAGUUUUAAAGUUGACUUCUGAGAGCAUCAGAUUUUGGAUAGUGUCCUUUCUCAGGUCCUGUUUUCUUGUCUCCUCAUCCCAUUUUCAAAGCCAGACAAAUAAACCCCCUCACUCCUUUAGCGAAGGGCUCAGUGAGGGCGUUUUGCCACCCGUGGCCAGGGGUCACUGGGUCAGCAAAGUCAGAGGAAGCCUUGAAAGGCAGAAGGCCAGGAGACUGACGCCCUGCGGGACUAGGGGCCAGGUGCUGGGUGUCUCUCCUUUCGUCUGCGGUCCCCAGCAGCAGGUCCUGGUGGGCGCAGACUGACUGGAGAGGUGCAGCUCGUCCCCUCCUCAGACCCCGAAGUGGCAAUGAAACCUCCAUCUCCUGGCUUGAUUCUUAGUGCUAUAAAAAAUCUUCCACUGGCCCUUUGCAUCUCUAGCCCUCCAUCCCCCAAAGCCACUAGCGGGAGGGGACAAAAAUAAUUUCUGAGGGGCCACGGGCACUAAAACCACAGCAGACAGAGGCUGUGUCUACCUGAGGAACUGGAGAGGUAGAAUUAGCGGGGGAGGCUGGGCCUCCUCGGCGGCGCCCCUCCAUCCAGCGUGAAACCCACGAGGCGCGGCGUCCCGAGUGGCGGGUGGGCAGGUGGCUGUGGGAUUCACGAAGCCUCCUCUGCUGGGGAUCGCCUCCUCUCGGAGUGGCCUCCCCUCCGGCGAUCCGCUUUAGUAAGAAGACGCUCAGGCCAAACAGCCGCCCCGGCCAGCCCGCCUCGGCUCCGGAGGGAGCGCCCCGAGGGAGCCGAGCCGGCGGCGGAGAGGGCCAUUCGGCAUAAGGUGGGGAGCCGCCGGGGUCCCCUCGCACCUCCGUCUCCACAGCACGGGGAACGGCCCUGAUCGUCGUGGUCUACACCACCGCGUCCACCUGAGGCUCGCCUCGCUUCCUGGGUGCCCAGAAGGGUGGCUUACUCCGUUUUCUCCUGCCCCCAAGUGGCCGCACCCCUCCACGGGACGCUUGGUUGGGUCCAGGGCGGGGCGGACGGGUGCUCCCUGUACGGUCGCUAGCUCGGCGCUCAGCUCCC
ensembl:lncRNA